rnacentral:rRNA from 1 species
AGGACGAACGCUGGCGGCGUGCCUAACACAUGCAAGUCGAGCGAAGCAUACCGGAUAGCUUGCUAUUUUGUAUGACUGAGCGGCGAACGGGUGAGUAACACGUGGGUGAUCUACCUGGAAGUCUGGGAUAACAGUUGGAAACGGCUGCUAAUACCGGAUGACAUCUAUUAAUCGGAUAAUGGAUCAAAGAUUUUAUUGCUUUCAGAUGAGCCCGCGUCCCAUUAGUUAGUUGGUAGGGUAAUGGCCUACCAAGGCGACGAUGGGUAGCCGGUCUGAGAGGAUGGUCGGCCACACUGGGACUGAGACACGGCCCAGACUCCUACGGGAGGCAGCAGUGGGGAAUUUUGCGCAAUGGGGGCAACCCUGACGCAGCGACGCCGCGUGAGCGAAGAAGGCCUUCGGGUUGUAAAGCUCUGUCUGGGGGGAAGAUAGUGACGGUACCCCUGGAGGAAGCCCCGGCUAACUACGUGCCAGCAGCCGCGGU